UAUUUUGAUGGUUUGUAGCCUGAGCAGGAGAAAACAGAGUUUGGCACUAUGGCCUGGGACGGACGGUAACCUUCACAUCCUCUUCCCUCCCCAAGAGGACUAAAGAUGGAUCAGGCACCCCAGAGUGAUGGAACCCAGGUGUGAGUGGGUGCUCUUUAUGCCCAGGGUGUCACAGGAAGUAUGGAGGGCCAGGCUGCCCCACCCCCAGGUCUGGCUGGCCUGUCCCAGUAGGACCCAGACUAUGGAGGCCCCACACAGAGGCUCCUGCCAUGCAGCGCUGUAGUUCUGGAUGCCAGCCACCCUCUUCUCUCUCCUCCCCACUCAGGGAGGGCAGAGAGCGUGCACAAUACAGGGCUGCUGGGACGGGCCGGUUGCCAUCGGCAAGAGGUCUGGUCCUCUGGCCAGGGCGGUGAUAGUGUCAUCCUUGUGGGAGUGAUAUGUUUGAGAGAGGGUGGGUGGUAGCCAAAUGGGAAGGACGACGCUAGCGCCCCGUUUUGUGUUCCAGCGGGCAAAGAGCUCCCUGGCUAUCCCAGGUCAGUGGGGCAGGAGGCCGAGCGUGGAGCGCGGCCGGGGCGCGGGCUGGAUCGGGUUUCCGGAAGGACUUGCUAGGGCCGGCGCGGGUGGGUGUUGCCUGGCCCCGCUCCCCGCUCCACCUCCGGCCUGGCUUCCGCCCGCCGGUCGCGGUCCCCGGGCGAGGGAGGCCGCUAGACUCGGCCUGGAGCGCCCCCUGACGGCUAAUCGGAGUGGGCGCGCCUGCUCGUGGGAGAGCCAGAGGGAGAGCAAGCAGCUAGCACCGGCCAAGCGCGCCGGACGCCCCGGGAUCUGCGCGCAGGUGGACCCCUUCCCGCCGCUGGCGCGCUGCGCCAGUACACGACGGCGGCCCAGAGCCCGGACGCCAAGGCGGCGGCAGCGCAGAGCAAAGGAGCCCGUGGCAGUUCCUGCCGAGAUAGCGCCCAGCGACUGGAAACGAACCAGGUGGAUUCUUUACCACUGA
rnacentral:lncRNA from 1 species